rnacentral:snRNA from 1 species
GAACAGAUCAUAUGGGGUCAAUGGGCGAUUAAGAAGGCCCAUGGCCUAGGUUGGUGACUUUCAUUGCACUUUGAAAGGGUGGCCGCCUAAGGUCAGUCCAAGUGGUUGUGCCUACGUCGUAGUUAUUGCUGACCGGGCCUGCAUUUGUGUGGCCCCACC